rnacentral:tRNA from 1 species
GUUUUUGUAGUUGAAUACAACAUUGAUUUUUCAGAUCAAAGGUCUUGGUUAGAAGCCGGGUAAAAAUU